rnacentral:rRNA from 1 species
GACGAACGCUGGCGGCGUGCUUAACACAUGCAAGUCGAACGGAAAGGCCAGUGCUUGCACUGGUACUCGAGUGGCGAACGGGUGAGUAACACGGGGGUGAUCUGCCUUGCACUCUGGGAUAAGCUUGGGAAACUGGGUCUAAUACCGGAGAUGAACUGCCUUUAGUGUGGUGGUUGGAAAGUUUUUUCGGUGCAAGAUGAGCUCGCGGCCUAUCAGCUUGUUGGUGGGGUAAUGGCCUACCAAGGCGUCGGCGGGUAGCCGGCCUGAGAGGGUGUCCGGCCACAUUGGGACUGAGAUACGGCCCGGACUACUACGGGAGGCAGCAGUGGGGAAUAUUGCCCGAUGGGCGGAAGCCUGGUGCAGCGACGCCGCGUGGGGGAUGACGGCCUUCGGGUUGUAAGCUCCUUUCGACAGGGACGAAGCGUAAGUGACGGUACCUGUAUAAGAAGCACCGGCUAACUACGUG